rfam:Triticum aestivum genome assembly, contig: Triticum_aestivum_CS42_TGACv1_scaffold_513373_6BS
UUUCUACUCCCUCCGUCCGAAAAAGCUUGUCCCUAGAAUGGAUGUAUCUAACACCAAGUUAGUGGUAGAUACAUCCAUUUGAGGAACAAGUUUGAGACAAGGUAGAUACAUCCAUUUGAGGAACAAGUUUGAGACAAGCUUUUUCGGACGGAGGGAGUAAUUG